rnacentral:rRNA from 1 species
GGCCCACCAAGGCGACGAUCGGUAGCCGGACUGAGAGGUUGAACGGCCACAUUGGGACAGAGACACGGCCCAGACUCCUACGGGAGGCAGCAGUGGGGAAUAUUGCACAAUGGGGUAAACCCUGAUGCAGCGACGCCGCGUGGAGGAAGAAGGUCUUCGGAUUGUAAACUCCUGUUGUUGAGGAAGAUAAUGACGGUACUCAACAAGGAAGUGACGGCUAACUACGUGCCAGCAGCCGCGGUAAAACGUAGGUCACAAGCGUUGUCCGGAAUUACUGGGUGUAAAGGGAGCGCAGGCGGGAAGACAAGUUGGAGGUGAAAUCCAUGGGCUCAACCCAUGAACUGCUUUCAAAACUGUUUUUCUUGAGUAGUGCGGAGGUAGGCGGAAUUCCCGGUGUAGCGGUGGAAUGCGUAGAUAUCGGGAGGAACACCAGUGGCGAAGGCGGCCUACUGGGCACCAACUGACGCUGAGGCUCGAAAGUGUGGGUAGCAAACAGGAUUAGAUACCCUGGUAGUCCACACUGUAAACGAUGAUUACUAGGUGUUGGAGGAUUGACCCCUUCAGUGCCGCAGUUAACACAAUAAGUAAUCCACCUGGGGAGUACGACCGCAAGGUUGAAACUCAAAGGAAUUGACGGGGGCCCGCACAAGCAGUGGAGUAUGUGGUUUAAUUCGACGCAACGCGAAGAACCUUACCAAGUCUUGACAUCCUGCGACGGACAUAGAAAUAUGUUUUUCCUUCGGGACGCAGAGACAGGUGGUGCAUGGUUGUCGUCAGCUCGUGUCGUGAGAUGUUGGGUUAAGUCCCGCAACGAGCGCAACCCUUGUGGUCAGUUACUACGCAAGAGGACUCUGGCCAGACUGCCGUUGACAAAACGGAGGAAGGUGGGGAUGACGUCAAAUCAUCAUGCCCUUUAUGACUUGGGCUACACACGUACUACAAUGGCGUUAAACAAAGAGAAGCAAGACCGCGAGGUGGAGCAAAACUCAGAAACAACGUCCCAGUUCGGACUGCAGGCUGCAACUCGCCUGCACGAAGUCGGAAUUGCUAGUAAUCGCAGAUCAGCAUGCUGCGGUGAAUACGUUCCCGGGCCUUGUACACACCGCCCGUCACACCAUGAGAGCCGGGGGGACCCGAAGUCGGUAGUCUAACCGCAAGGAGGACGCCGCCGAAGGUAAAACUGGUGAUUGGGGUGAAGUCGUAACAAGGUAGCCGUAGGAGAACCUGCGGCUG